ACAAAUUAAGCUUUCUCGGUGCACGUGGUUUGUCCACCAAGGUACGUAGGGUACUAGCUAGGGUAGGUGUUGAUAAUAUCCACAUCCUCCAAGUACUUAAUUUUUCCCUGCAGAAGCCACAAUUAAAGCAUAUACAUACAUACAUACCCACAGUACUUGGUUACUUCAAGCUUGUUCACAUAAGAAUUAAACCCACGUAACUGUUCAGAAACCCUAAGAAACAUAUUCAAUUAUUUGCACUCCUAAACUAAACUACUCCUCUUCAACAUCAAUUAAGAGACGAGGAAAAUUAUAAUAAUAAAAAUUAAAAAAUAAAUUAAUUCCAACAUGUUUUUCCGACUUUAAACGAUAUACUUGCAUCAUAAUCGAAAGCAACAAGUCUUGUAGGGGUUUUUCAAUUUAAUAUAUUAUUGUAGAUCAAAAAUUAUGACACUUUAAAAAUAUACGGAUCCAAAAAAUUAUUCCAAUUCUAAUUCGGACACGUCGGCGGUGAAUCUAGACAUAAUUGAAAUGUACAGAGAAAAACAUGAAUAAUGAUUGGUGAAUGAAUGAGUGCAUUAAUUAGCAGACAGUGGUUGGUGGUCCUACACCUCUAUCCAUCUCUCACCAAACCUUUAAAGGAGAAACGAGAGAUCAGAGGAGAUGAUCCCUUUAUUCCUUUGCCACCCAUACAGAUACAAUGAGAGAAAGAAAGAGAUUGACAGUCAUUUUACAAUGCCAACCACACCAAGGUUGACACCUGAAC
rnacentral:lncRNA from 1 species